UGGGGAAUAUUGCACAAUGGGGGAAACCCUGAUGCAGCAACGCCGCGUGAAGGAAGAAGGCCUUUGGGUCGUAAACUUCUGUUCUGAGGGAAGAAGAAAGUGACGGUACCUCAGGAGAAAGCCCCGGCUAACUACGUGCCAGCAGCCGCGGUAAUACGUAGGGGGCGAGCGUUGUCCGGAAUUAUUGGGCGUAAAGAGUACGUAGGCGGUUUGCUAAGCGCAAGGUGAAAGGCAGUGGCUUAACCAUUGUAAGCCUUGCGAACUGGCAGACUUGAGUGCAGGAGAGGAAAGCGGAAUUCCUAGUGUAGCGGUGAAAUGCGUAGAUAUUAGGAGGAACACCGGUGGCGAAGGCGGCUUUCUGGACUGUAACUGACGCUGAGGUACGAAAGCGUGGGGAGCAAACA
rnacentral:rRNA from 1 species